rnacentral:rRNA from 1 species
AGCCUGAUCAGCCAUGCCGCGUGAGUGAUGAGGUCCUCUGGAUUGUAACUUCUUUUGUAAGGGACGAAAAAGGGGAAUUCUUUCUCACUUGACGGUGACCUUAUGCAAUAAGCACCGGCUAACUCCGUCGCCAGCAGCCGCGGUAAUACGGAGGGUGCAAGCGUUAUCCGGAUUCACUGGGUUUAA